GACGAACGCUGGCGGCGUGCUUAACACAUGCAAGUCGAACGGAAAGGCCCUGCUUUUGUGGGGUGCUCGAGUGGCGAACGGGUGAGUAACACUUGAGUAACCUGCCCUUGACUUUGGGAUAACUUCAGGAAACUGGGGCUAAUACCGGAUAGGAGCUCCUGCUGCAUGGUGGGGGUUGGAAAGUUUCGGCGGUUGGGGAUGGACUCGCGGCUUAUCAGCUUGUUGGGUGGGUAGUGGCUUACCAAGGCUUUGACGGGUAGCAGGCCUGAGAGGGUGACCGGCCACACUAGGACGGAGAUACGGCCCAGACCCGUCCGGGAGGCAGCAGUGGAGAGGAUUACACAAUGGGCGGAAGCCUGAUGCAGCAACGCCGCGUGCGGGAUGACGGCCUGCGGGUUGUAAACCGCUUUCGCCUGUGACGAAGCGUGAGUGACGGUAAUGGGUAAAGAAGCACCGGCUAACUACGUG
rnacentral:rRNA from 1 species